rnacentral:lncRNA from 1 species
AGAAGCAGAACAGCACAGACACAGACACAGGCAGCUCUGCAUACCUAUCAAUCAAGAUUUUUCAUGAACAACUGCACAAAUUCAAAACCACCAAAAGAAUAAAAGAAAUAACAAGACAAUAAACCAGGGGAUUGGAGGAAACGAGGCCUUAAUUCGAGCACAAGAUAUUCCAUGGCUUCAACUUAUAUAAAAGCGUAACCUAAUCCAUCUACACAACAUUAUCUCUGACAAUUUGGCAAGUCAGUGAGUUAUAAACUACAAUGAGAAAUGACUGUACACAUCCAGAAUAAAAAGAUCCGUGAGCCCAUUAUUCAUCCUAUAGAAGGAUUUCAAAACAUACGCAUAAAAAGAUAAAUUUCCAAAUGUUCAUAAGCCUUUCUUUGGGCUCCAUUUUAAGGAAAUUUGGGGGAAAAUGAAUUUUGAAAUAUUGAUUUUUCGAAGAAUGUGUGGUUAAAAAAUAAGGAAAAGAUUUUAGGUUACAAAUAAUAUUAUUCUAUGAAAGAAUGUGUGGUUGAAAAUGAGUUUCGAAAAAAUGGGGGCCAAACAUAGGCUAAAGAAAUAUCAGCAGUCCUAUCUAGUGGCACAAUUUGAGGUGUGUUGUGCAUAAUGGGCAAUUUCUAUCUCAUAAACAUGAUAAAACCAUUGCAGAGCGUACAUAAAUCUUUAUGUAAUUCCUAUGCAGAAGGAUGUCAAUUUUAUGCAUACAAAGAUUAGAUAUUAGCAAUAUUUCAGAGCCUUGAAUAUGAGAUUGAAUUUCUGCUGGGUUAUAGAAAAGAUUAAAUUUACGAAAAAGCAAGAAUAGACAAUAUAAAAAUUAAGAACAAGAACACAAGAUAGUCAGUGAACUUCAGCAAUUUGAAGGUCAAAAUACAUGGAAAGUUACAGUAUUCUUGCAGUUGCAGCUUCUAAUGUAAAAUGAUUAGAACACGAGUCAAGAGGAUGCAUGAGCAUUUGGAAUUUAUCAAUUACACUUCUAUCAUAAAAGUGUAGACCUUUGGUCAUAUAGUGAACGAAGUUAAAAGAACUACAGAGCGGCGUACUUGCAUACUGGCAUCUGUCAGUUUAUUAUUUCUCUUGGACAGAGCUGUAAUCGUUUGUGUUUACCCCAGAAGUUCAGGUAUUACUGCAGAUCAUGAAAUUAAAC